UAUGAUAUAUAUAUAUAUAUAUAUAUAUAUAUAUAUAUAAAAGCUGGCUGGCCAUAAGAGUGACAAUGUCUUGUUUACUUAUCAGAUUGUUUUCUCCAGUAAAUGCGGUCUACUUAAAAAACCUGCCAAAAUGGAUGACUCGAGAUUGUCUAGUCAAAUUAUUUGAACAUACAAAUGUAUUAAAUUGUGCUGCCUUGUGCUAAAUAGUGAUGAGAGAGGUGCUAUAGUCAAUUUUCUCACCGUCAAUGAUCUUAUAUGGCUUUAUCUGUCAUCUGACAUUGAUAUGAUGAUGUGGUUGUCCUGAUACAUUUCUCCACUUAGGUUGGCAUUCUGAUUGUUUUCCUGUAAUGACUCUAGCUAUAACUAGAAAUGCGCUCUGGGUCCUUAGGACACAAUUUGGUUA